rnacentral:rRNA from 1 species
UGGGGAAUCUUGGACAAUGGGCGCAAGCCUGAUCCAGCCAUGCCGCGUGAAGGAUGAAGUCCCUCGGGAUGUAAACUUCGUAAGAAUAGGAAGAAUAAAUGACGGUACUAUUUGUAAGGUCCGGCUAACUACGUGCCAGCAGCCGCGGUAAUACGUAGGGACCAAGCGUUGUUCGGAUUUACUGGGCGUAAAGGGCGCGUAGGCGGUUUGUCAAGUCAGUUGCGAAAUCUCCGAGCUUAAACUCGGAACGGUCAACUGAUACUGUCAAACUAGAGUACAGAAGGGGCAAUCGGAAUUCUUGGUGUAGCGGUGAAAUGCGUAGAUAUCAAGAGGAACACCUGAGGCGAAGGCGGGUUGCUGGGCUGAUACUGACGCUGAAGCGCGAAAGCUAGGGUAGCAAACGGGAUUAGAU